CAGGUUGUAGUUUAAUAAAACGACAAGUUGCAAGCUUGUAGAAAAGAUGUAAGAUGUCUUCUAUCUGG
rnacentral:tRNA from 1 species